CAGCAGCCGCGGUAACACGAGGGGGGCAAGCGUUGUUCGGAAUUAUUGGGCGUAAAGGGUGCGUAGGCGGUUUCGUAAGUCUUAUGUGAAAUCUAUGGGCUCAACCCAUAGUCUGCAUGGGAAACUGCGAGGCUUGAGGAUGGGAGAGGUGAGUGGAAUUUCCGGUGUAGCGGUGAAAUGCGUAGAUAUUGGAAGGAACACCUGUGGCGAAUGCGGCUCACUGGACCAUUUCUGACGCUGAUGCACGAAAGCUAGGGGAGCAAACAGGAUUAGAGACCCCUGUAGUCCCUGUCUCUUAUCC
rnacentral:rRNA from 1 species